ACGGGUGAGUAACACGUAUGCAAUCCACCUGUAACAGGGGAUAACCCGGAGAAAUCCGGACUAAUACCCCAUAAUAUGGGCGCUCCGCAUGGAGAGUCCAUUAAAGAGAGCAAUCUUGGUUACAGACGAGCAUGCGCUCCAUUAGCCAGUUGGCGGGGUAACGGCCCACCAAGGCGACGAUGGAUAGGGGUUCUGAGAGGAAGGUCCCCCACAUUGGAACUGAGACACGGUCCAA
rnacentral:rRNA from 1 species